UCUUUCUUUAUUGACUAGGCUGAGCGCCGACAGCCCGUUUCACGCAGAGCACAGCUGGGAGCAGGACAAAAACAUCAAGAAGGGGAAGAUCCAGUUUGGCCGCUGUUACCCGGGUCUGUCUGAGGGAGCUUUAACCUUCAUGAAGAACAGCCUGAACAACAAAUCCUGGGGCAGACCGACGGCGGCCGAGUGUCUCCAGAACCCCUGGCUGCGAGCCCACCGAGCCCCACACAAAGCCCGACACUCCAAAGUGUGUUUCUCCACGGACAAACUGAAAGCUUACCUCAAGCAGAAGGAGGAGAAACGAGACCAGGUGCGCAUCAAAGUCCAGGGUCCCUUCUUCCAGUAAACGGAUCUUUUCUAAAUAACAUGCAGCUUUACGACAGGGUCCGUCCGUUCAAAACGAAUCAGCGCCUCCAACCUGAGCCCUCAGAAAUCAUCUGAUUUUAUCUACCGUAACUUUAAUAUAUAUAUAAUGAAACCAUGCAAACUUUUACUGUCGUGUUUCUGUUUUAACAUAGAAGGAAUCAUAUGAACCUGGUAAACUUUAGCUAAAAAUGAGAAUAUUCCAUGUUCCUACCGACCACCUGUCACACAGAGUUUGUUCAAAAUGCACUUUUUAAAGUUUUCUGUGGUGAAUGAUCAGAAAACAGAAACACAUCCAGAGUACUGAUGAUUGUUGCUGUGAAAGUUAUAAAAAAACUACCAAAAAUCAGAUUUACUCUUGAGAUUGUGACACCUGGAUGGAUGUAAAAGUGGUUUGGUGUCGGUUUUUAACAGAACGUAAAUGUGUUGUGCAUCCAAAAACGUCACGUGUUUAUCUGCUGCACUGAUGAGACUCAGAAAUGAUGGAAAAAGUCAAUUUAAAAGUGUGAAAUUUCAACCUACUUCUGUGUAUUUUAAGAGCCUGUAACUCUGAAAAUAUUCAGAGUAUAUAAAUAAAACUUUGCAUGGUUUCAUUAAACAUACUGAAGUUAUUGUACAUAAACAAUGAACUGAUUUGGUUGAUGUUUCAUAGAAGGACCCAACAUGUCCGCUGUGUGUGUUUUCUGUCAGGUCAGAUUUAUAAAACAUUUGUUGGUGAACCCUGAUUUUUAAAGCUGUGAUGCGUCUUAAUGAGUUUUAAAGUGUACGUAGACGUUAGCUCCAGAGUGUGCAUCGUUUUUGUGCUUCAUACGGAAACACAUCAGGGAUAAAUCUUUGUCUAAGCAUGAAUCCUAAAGUUCUGACGUUAGAAGCUUUUAUUUUACGCGUUUGGCCUUAAAGUCAGACUGUGUUCUGCUCUGCCACCCAUAGAUGAGCAUUUUUAUUUCAGACUUUACAUGAAGUGCCUUCAGAUUGUAUAAAUGGGAUUAAGCUUGUAGGUUUUAUUAGACGCUUCAGAGUUUCAUAUCAGUGAGAUGCAGAACCGACCGACCUUGUGAAUGACAUAUUUAUUAAAAGACAAAGAAGUGUUCAGUC